rnacentral:rRNA from 1 species
AUCGAACGCUGGCGCCAGGCCUAACACAUGCAAGUCGAGCGAGCGGCGGACGGGUGAGUACUGUCUGGGAACCUGCCUGUUGGCGGGGGAUAACUACUGGAAACGGUUGCGAAUACCGCGUACCAUCAGAUUUGGCCAGAUGGGGUUAGCUAGUGGGUGGGGUAACGGCUCACCUAGGCGACGAUCCCUAGCUGGUCUGAGAGGUUGACCAGCCACACUGGAACUGAGACACGGUCCAGACUCCUACGGGAGGCAGCAGUGGGGAAUAUUGCACAAUGGGCGAAAGCCUGACGCAGCCAUGCCGCGUGUGUGAAGAAGGCUUUCGGGUUGUAAAGCACUUUCAGCGGGGAGGCGUUACCCGCAGAAGAAGCACCGGCUAACUCCGUGCCAGCAGCCGCGGUAAUAC